UGACGCUCUAGAAGAGACUAGGUUUGGUUUGGAGAAUACUGUGGUACUCGAAUAGAAAGAAAUCCUUUUUUUUUUACGCCAUAGAAGGGACUAGAUUUGGUUUCUGGAAUAGAACAAAGCUAUACGAUCUUCGCAUUUGAUUGCUAAAGGAAUAGAACAGAUUGCGGUUCUAGAAAAGAAAGGACAAGAGGAGACGAAGAUUUGUUGGGGUCAACGGUUUGGUAUAUUAUUGCAGUGUUGGAAUAGAAAAAGAAGAGGAGUAAUUGAUCUGAGUUUGAUUUGGAGAGUAAAGAUUGGAGGAAGGAUGCCGUGUGCAUGUCAUCAAAGGAGACUUGGGUGAGCCAGACAGAAUUGUCAGGAAGCUGUUGCAGUCUGGGGUCUAUAUGAAAUUGAUUAAUUUGGGUCUUGAGGACUUACACUCCAGGAGUCCCAGCUGACAGUGAUAUUUAGUACUUUUGCAAGGAUUUUCUUUCUUGAAUUGUUCCCCACAAUGUCUUAACCUCCCCAUAAUGUUUUAACCACCAACCUAAGCGCUCACUUAUUUGCCAUAGUACUUAACUCAGUUCAGUACUAUGACCAAUUGUUGAGAUCCUAGAUUUUGAAAAACAAUACUGUUUGUAGAUAUAUA
rnacentral:lncRNA from 1 species